ACAGGGAUUGCUGUCCAGGGAAGGGACUGCUGUCCAGGGACAGGGAUGGUUGUCCAGGGAAGGGACUGCUGUCCAGGGACAGGGAUUGCUGUCCAGGGAAGGGACUGCUGCCCAGGCCCAGCCCAGGAUCCCAGAGCAGCUCAGCACUCACAGAUGGUGGUGCAGAUGGGCCCCACUUGGAAGGUGGUGCCGUACACGGAUUUGAUGGCGUUGGCAGCGGCUCUUCCCAGGGACUCCUGCAGAGCACAGCCAGGGACAGGUCAGGAAGAGCCAAACUUCAGCAGGAUCCAGGACCCAGAGGCUCCUCAUUCCUACCUCCAAAGCCUGCGUCCCAGUUCCUGUUGGGAUCCACGCCGAAGCACACGCUGCCCGGGUUCUUGGAGCGCGUCUUCCUCCACAUGCGGUUCUGGAAGGGAGGAACAGCUUCCAAAGCUUCACAGGAACUGUUCCACUUUGUCUCCCUGAACUGCUGCCUUUGGUCUCCCUAAACUGAGCUCUUCACAAGACCCUGCGUGUUCCAGUCCUGGGGCUGGGCAGCCACCACACCCGCCUGGGGGUCGUUCUGGUGAGGGAGGAGGCUCAGCACGGAGCUGUGGGAUCCCUGGAAUGCUCUGGGACGCUGCCAGGGCGAGGCAAAGCUGGAGGAACCUGGUUGGCGAUCCAGAGGGCGCUGGCCUGGGUGACCCACUCGCGGGAGUGGAUGCCGGCGUCGAGCCAGAUGGCCGGGCGGGCGGAGCCGCCGGUGCUGAACUGGGGAUGGAAGGGGAAGAUUCAGCUCACCUGUCAGCCAGAACCAUCCCAGGCAGGCUGGGUGCUCUGGGCUGAGCUCUGCCACGGCUGCCCCGCGCUGGGACGAGCCCUGGCACGCUUGGUGUACCUUGAGGGCAUACAGGGGACGCUUCUCGUAGGACUCCCCGAUCUGGAUCUUCUCCACGAAGCUGUGCUCAGAGGCAAGGUGGUCCAGCUCCGCAUAAAUCUGCAAUGAGGAGGCACAAGGACGCUUGGAACACAUUUCAUGCAAUCAUGGACUUGUCUGGUGUGGAAAGGACCUUAAAAACCAUCUGGUUCACACCGAUCCCAGGGUGCUCCAACCUGGCCUUGGGCACUUCCAGGGACGGGGCAGCCACAGCUUCUCUGGGCAAGGAGUCCUUUAUCUCCUGUUUCAAGAUUCCUUUAUCUCCUGUUUCAAGAUUCCUUUAUCUCCUGUUUCAAGAUUCCUUUAUUUCCCUGUCUCUUUGGAGGCUCAGAAGGAAGGGGUUUAGGCACAAGAGCUCAUGGAAAAGUUUCCUUAGCACUUGCUCUGCCAGGGCCAGGCUGAUUGUUCUGGCCACUAAAUCCUUUCAGAUAAAACCAAAACCAGGCGCCAAGAGAAGCUGAAGAGACAUCUAGAUCCUACUACUGGAAUUCUGAUGGAAGACAGCAUGAAGAAAGGCCAGGAAAAAAGAGAGAACCCCCUUGCUCUGAGGCACUCACAUCAUCCAGGGUGUGGUAGGAGCCGAAGUCGAAGCUGGCGCUUCGCUCCCUCUGGGCGCUCUCAGCCAUGUCCUGCUUUUCCUUGUCCAGAAUAUCCUAAAACAAGACAUUCCAAGGGUGAGAGAAGUCUGCUCCGGUUGCAAAAUGGAUUUGAAAAGGCAGUGUUUGUGCUGAGUUACCCAGAGAAUCCUGGAAUGGCUUGGUGGGAAGAGAAAUGAAGGAUCAUCCAGUUCCAACCCCAACACCUUCCACCAACCUGGUCUUGGACACUCCCAGGGAUCCAGGGGCAGCCACAGCUGCUCUGGGAAAUCCAGUCCAGCCCCUCCCCACCCUCCCAGCCAGCAAUUCCUUCCCAAUCUCCCAUCUGUCCCUGCCCUCUGGCACUGGGAAGCCAUUCCCUGUGUCCUGUCCCUCCAGGCCUUGUCCCCAGUCCCUCUCCAGCUCUCCUGGAGCCCCUUCAGGCCCUGCAAGAGGCUCUCAGGUCUCCCUGGAGCCUUCUCUUCUCCAGGAUGAACAUUCCCAGCUGUCCCAGCCUGGCUUCAGAGCAGAGGGAUCCAGCCCUGGGAGCAGCUCCGUGCCCUCCUCUGGACUCGCUGGCUCAGGUGCCAUGUUGGGAUCAUUCCUCACGGGAAAAUCUUGGAAUUGUGCCCACGUGGGUGACUUUUACCCGUCACUACCCUUGGCAUGUUUUACUGACUCCUGAGGAACUCCAGGAGUGGUUCCCGAGUAUCUGUGGCCAGAAC